GAGAGAGAGAGAGAGAGAGAGAGAGAGAGAGAGAGAGAGAGUCUACAAGACUUUCAUUUUGAGAUUUUGAGAUGGUGACUAACUGGAAUGCCUGUUGACUGUGUAUAGUACCUAGUAUUUUUGAAGACAUUUUACAAGUGUAAACGCUGUUGAUACGCAAAGAUAUUUACACCUUGCAUUUGAUUGUGCUUAUUGUAUUCAAAAGAACUUUUCAGGAUGACAAGAAAUUGUUUUAUUAAUUUGCUAGAUUUAUGAUUUCUUCCUUAACAAAACAAGCCAGAUAGAUAUGCCAGUUAUACAAAUUUUGAAUUCCUAAAUAAAAUGUCAUAUUUUUUAAUGUUUUAUUGUAGGGAGUAGGAUGGGGUUGCAUGUGAAUAAAGAUUUUACUUUAUUUUUUCCCUUAAAUUCUUUUUUUUUAUUCUUCUCAUUUUGAUAAAUAUAAAGAUUACAAUUACUGGUAUUAUUACAUGUAAGUAUUUUUUUCUUUACUUUGGUGUGGGUUAGUAAUUCAAAAAGAAAUUAACCAAUCAGUUUAAAGUUUAGAUUGGUUGAUACAGAUAGUAUGGCAUGUUGGCUCUGUAACAGAGGAUGAUUUUACUAACCACUGUAAAUAUACCCAUAAAUAAAAGGGUUAGAAAAGGUUAAAAAAUGAUUACUCACAAGUCAUGUCUGUGUUAAAUGAACACUGUUUGGUUUAAUUUUGAUAAAACAUUUGUAUACUUUAUAGAAACAUGUAGACAUAUAUAUUAAAAAAGAAACCAGGUCCUGGUAUUUACAUGUACAUGUACUUGCAUAAUACAAUUAUAAAACAAUAUGUUAUUUGAACUAGAAUGACAAGAAAUCUUUGAAUAGCACCUUUUAUUGUAAAACAUUUUUUUAUGUAUUGGAUGAAUUACUAUUCAAUCUUUUGUAUAUACUUUUUAAAGUGCUAUAAACCAUGGUGCCAUAUUGGAACAAAUUUUAUUGUAUAUUUUACUUUCAUGUUUUAUAUACAAAAAUAUACCUUUGUAUCAGUAUUACCUCUAAGUGUAAAACUUUUUUUUUACUUUGAUAAUAUUCACAAUGUAUUCUUUCAAUUUUUUUUAUUUGUGCCCUUAACUUCCUCAGAAAUCCAUGGCCAUGAGCUUACAGAUAUGCAAGACUGGCCAUGGGUUUCUAAGUAUGUCUCCAAAAAAGUUAAAUGUUUUCUCAAUAAAUUUUACAUAAUU
rnacentral:sRNA from 1 species